rnacentral:rRNA from 1 species
UACGGGGGGGGCAAGCGUUGUUCGGAAUUACUGGGCGUAAAGGGCUCGUAGGCGGCCAACUAAGUCAGACGUGAAAUCCCUCGGCUUAACCGGGGAACUGCAUCUGAUACUGGAUGGCUUGAGAUUGGGAGAGGGAUGCGGAAUUCCAGGUGUAGCGGUGAAAUGCGUAGAUAUCAGGAGGAACACCAGUGGCGAAGGCGGCAUCCUGGCCCUGUCCUGACGCUCAGGGGCGAAAGCGUGGGGAGCAAACCGG